rnacentral:lncRNA from 1 species
UGGUCCACUUCUCCUUUUGCGACAUCUGGUACCUAGGUUCCAUUUUUAAGAUACCAGAAACCAUUCCAAUCCUGUUGAACUAAAGCUUCGGGAAAUGCGGCUUCUGGAUGCAACUCUAUGACUUGAGUACUUAGAUCUUCAUCUUCGGGCACAAUUUGAUACCGUCCCAAUUGUCUAUAGACCUUAUGUGGUGCAUACGGUUUAAUACUUUUCACACCUAUUAUCCUCAAUUAGCCCUUAGCAACAUUCAUGUAUAUGGCUUCUGUAUUUGGAAGCCAUCCUAUGGACCACUCAAUUUGACUUGCUUUGAGAGCUUUCAAAUGAGACAUCCAUACUUCAAACCCCUCUGGCACGUUGUAUUCUUUACCCUCUCUUCAUAACUAGUGAUGAAAUUAU